rnacentral:rRNA from 1 species
GAUGAACGCUGGCGGCGUGCUUAACACAUGCAAGUCGAACGGAAAGGCCCUUGCUUGCAGGGGUACUCGAGUGGCGAACGGGUGAGUAACACGUGGGUGAUCUGCCCUGCACUUCGGGAUAAGCCUGGGAGACUGGGUCUAAUACCGGAUAGGACCACAUUCUGGAUGGUGUGGUGGAGAGUUUUUCGGUGUGGGUUGAGCUCGUGGCCUAUCAGCUUGUUGGUGGGGUAAUGGCGUACCAAGGCGUCGAGGGGUAGCCGGCCUGGGGGGGGGUACGGCAACAUUGGGACUGGGUGACGGCCCAGACUCCUACGGAGGGAAGAGGUGGGGAAUAUUGAACAAGGGGCGAAGGCCGGAGGAGGCAACGCGGGGUGGGGGAGGACGGCCUUCGGGUGGUAAACUCCUUUCGCUAGGGACGAGGCGGAGGUAACGGAACCGGUAGAAGAAGCACGGGCUAACUACGU